AACGAACGCUGGCAGCGUGGAUUAGGCAUGCAAGUCGAACGGGAAGCCGCAGUUUCAAUCUUCGGAAAGAAAAUGCGGUGGAGAGUGGCGAAAGGGUGAGUAACGCGUGGGUAACCUACCUCUUAGUUGGGGAUAGCGGCUGGAAACGGCCGAUAAUACCGAAUGUGGUCACAGUUGUUUCGGUAUCUGUGAUUAAAAACGGGGAUCCUUCGGGACCUGUUGCUAGGAGAGGGGCCCGCGUACCAUCAGCUUGUUGGUGAGGUAAUGGCUCACCAAGGCUUACGGUUAGCUGGUCUGAGAGGAUGGUCAGCCACACUGGGACUGAGACACUGCCCAGACUCCUACGGGAGGCUGCAGUCGAGGAUCAUUCGCAAUGCGCGAAAGCGUGACGAUGCGACGCUGCGUGUAGGAUGAAGGCCCUAGGGUCGUAAACUACUGUCAUUUGGGAAAAAUUGUCCUGUGGAUAAUACCCACGGGAU
rnacentral:rRNA from 1 species